ACGAAGGGGGCAAGCGUUACUCGGAAUUAUUGGGCGUAAAGCGUGCGUAGGCGGCUUUAUAAGUUGAAAGUGAAAUCCUUUGGCUCAACCAAAGAAUUGCUUACAAAACUGUAGAGCUAGAGUAUUAGAGAGGGUAGAAGAAUUUCUGAUGUAGGAGUGAAAUCCGUAGAUAUCAGAAGGAAUAUCAAAAGCGAAAGCAUCUGCCUGGCUAAAUACUGACGCUGUUGCACGAAAGCGUGGGGAGCAAACAGG
rnacentral:rRNA from 1 species